UCACUUGAUGAAACGGCACUGGGCUCCGAAUAAAAUUCAUGAGCAGAGACGCCACUUUGUGACAGGCCUAGAAAACCUCGUCCACUGAUC
rnacentral:snoRNA from 1 species